CAUUAUCGUACAAAAUGUGAGGGGCAUGUGAGGGCUGUCGCCGACUCAAAGUCGUGCACGCCCGAGCGUGUCCUCUCACAUAAUAAUCCAUCUCACCCUUUGUGCAUCGCCGCGUGGGCACCCUUUGGGAUCAUCUCGGAGGGGGCUCGCGUUUUCACACAAACCCCCCUUUUAAAAGUGUAGAAUGACCUCAUUUAUGCGCUAACCCGCAAUCAAUACAACUUUCAACAACGGAUCUCUUGGCUCUCGCAUCGAUGAAGAACGCAGCGAAAUGCGAUACGUAAUGUGAAUUGCAGAAUUCAGUGAAUCAUCGAAUCUUUGAACGCACCUUGCGCCCCUUGGUAUUCCGAGGGGCACACCCGUUUGAGUGUCGUGAAAACCUCAACCUCUUUGGUUUCUUCUGGAGACCAAAGCAGGCUUGGACUUUGGAGGCCUUUGCUGGCACCUCUCUCUUUUGAAGGUCAGCUCCUCUUAAACGAGUUAGCAGGGUCCUCUUUGCCGAUCCUCGACGUGUGAUAAGAUGUUUCCAUGUCUUGGUUUCUGGCUCUGUCACUUUUGGGACCCGCUUCUAACCGUCUUGACCUUGCGUCGAGACAAGUGUUCGAGCAUGUCUCCCUUCUUGGGAAGCUCCCUCGACCCCACGAACCCUUG
rnacentral:rRNA from 1 species